ACCGGUCCUUUCUGUCCCCAG
rnacentral:miRNA from 1 species